rnacentral:rRNA from 1 species
UACGGAGGAUCCAAGCGUUAUCCGGAUUUAUUGGGUUUAAAGGGUGCGUAGGCGGCUUAUUAAGUCAGUGGUGAAAGCCCGAUGCUUAACAUCGGAACUGCCAUUGAUACUGAUGAGCUUGAAUAUGGUUGAGGUUGGCGGAAUGUGUCAUGUAGCGGUGAAAUGCUUAGAUAUGACACAGAACACCGAUUGCGAAGGCAGCCGGCUAAGCCAUUAUUGACGCUGAGGCACUAAAGCGUGGGGAGCAAACAGG